AGCCCGCUCACCAGGCCUGCCUCCCCGAGGAAAUGUCAGCUCCGAUUGGCUGGCACGCGGCCUAGUAGGCGAGACCGCUACUCUCCGUUGGCUGGAGUCUGUUUACCUCUGGGGGUUUUGCGAGAGAACUAGGCGAGGCGGCUGUUAAGGAAGACUACAGUUCCCGGCAAGCUAUGCGUGGGGAGCGUGAGGCUCUGUAGGAGCUCUGCUUUUUUGACGAAGGGGGCGUCGCGUUUCUUCUACAAAAGGGCUUGGAAGGGAGAUUCCUUCCAUCGUGAGAUGGCUGGUUUGGAACGCAUCAGCAAGCUUGAUCCUCUUCACACUCUCCUGAUAAUGAGAUGAAUCAAAGGACCCACUUCCUUAUUCACUGUAAAUCAGGAAGCACUGGUUCAGCAGCAUUAAGUUCCGGACUAAGCCUGCACGGACACUGAAGGGGGAAAACAAUCUCCCAUUCCUUCUACAGCUGCCUGAGACACCCAAAAAUAUGCCCCUAAGCCUUUUUAAUAUGGUGAUUCUCUUUAUUUAGCAGGGGGAGAGCAACUGGCCCUAUUCACUCCCAGCACAGAACCCCUCCAGUGACUGUUGCUAGUGUCAAUCUUAUGAUUCUUUUUAGAUUGUGAGCCCUUUGGGGACAAGGAUCCAUCUUAUUUAUUUGUUAUUUCUCUAUGUAAACCACUGUGGACAC